rnacentral:lncRNA from 10 species
CUUUCCUCUACAUAAUGCCUCCACCAUCCAAGCCAUCCAAGGUUUACAUGUGCCUAUUCUGUUGACAUUGUAUCACACAUAAUAUUGCCUGGUGCAAGGGACCCAUUUUACAUCAAAGGAAGGUGACAAUGGACAUUUGACCAUGAGCUCCACUGUCUUACCACACACUUCAUCGCCCUGAAACAUCCAGGCUAAUAAGACAGUGUAAUAACCUGUUAGGACUCAUCUAAUGUGCUAGAAUAACACUCUGCAAACUUACUGUGCUUUGUGAUCUAGGCAUUGAAC